CCUAGCCAUAAAUUUUGGACACACCCGCCAGAGCACUACGAGCUACAGCUUAAAAUUCAAAGGACUUGGCGGCACUAUAUACCACCUAGAGGAGCCUGUUCUGUAAUCGAUAACCCCCGAUAAACCUCACCAUCCCUUGCUAAUACAGCCUAUAUACCACCGUCUUCAGCUUACCCUUCAAAUGAAUAAUAGUAAGCGAGAACAUUUUAAAUAAAAAAGUCAGGUCAAGGUGUAGCACAUGAGAUGGGAAGAAAUGGGCUACAUUUUCUUAACAGAAAAUACAAAAUAUUCUAUGAAAUAAAAUAUGAAGGCGGAUUUAGCAGUAAAAAGAAAAAAGAGUGUUCUUUUUAAAUAGGCAAUAUAGUGCGCAC
rnacentral:rRNA from 1 species